UUCCUCGCCGUUAACCCGCGCGACUGACCCCUGAAGUAAAGUUCGUCGAAGAUGGCGGUUUCAGCAGAGGGUGUAAAUACUUCUGGCCUGCGGGAUGUAACGCGCAGCGAUUGAACCAUUAGGCACACGCGCAAGAUGACGAAUCGCGUAUCUGUAUACGAAUUACGAAUUUCCUGUCUCGAUCGCAACGAGCUCCAACGAAUGGAGAAUUUACUCGUUAUUCUAUACCUUUCUGCUAAAUACGAAUGCUAUUAAUUUCUCUUCACUCGAGGACGAAGAUGCUAUAGUCACUGUAGCUUCGAAUAAAAAUAAUACGGGAAGAGAAUUAUACUCUAAACUGUUUUAUGAUACGAUUUCGUCUUCGAUAAACUGAAUGUUAUAUUUUUUAGCGAAACCCAACCUAUCGAUAUUUAUUCGAUUGGUGCUUUUGUUGGUUUCAAUUAUGACUACAGAACGAUCGCGAUAAAAUACGAUUGUUGCUACUGGUAAUAUCGGUUCCGCCACUAUUAUCCCGUCAUAAAAUGUAAGGGCAUUAUUUUUUCGCGUGUAGCAUUAACAAUGCAGUUUGCGGUUUUAUUAUAUGGUAAAGCGUUAAAGGAAAUCUUGAUUUUGCAAAAUGUAUAUUUAAAACGUCCAGUGUGGACCCAGAUGAAAAUGUUAUGAAACAGCAACCUUUAGUUAUUUCACCGUGAAGCUGGGCCAAAUAUUUAUCUUUAAUAAAAAUUUGUUGUUCGCGACACAAAUUGCCCCAUCGAAGCAAACAAUUUCCAGCUUCAAAUGUUUUUGCAUCUAUAAGAGAACGAUAGAGUAAUUUAAUUGACAACGGCGAAACUGAAAAGAUAAAAUGUAGUCCAAAAAACCAAGUGAAAUUUAGUUCGAUCGAAUAUAUCGGAAUCAAAAUGAUUUUCAAAAUCUAGUAAAAAUAUUGUGUCAGUUCCAAGUGACUUAGAAUUAAAGAAAAGUCUUCUUCGUCUACUAAAAGCUUAUUAAUUGGCAAAAGAGAAGAAAAAUGUCUUUAAAAUAGAUCUUGUUAAUUUAUACGUUCUCUUGCAUCUUAGAAAUCUGCGCGCACCAUAAAUGGGAGAUCCGCGGUUUAGUAAUCAGCCCAAUCUAAGGCAACGCAUAAUCAAAACGAUCUACCGUACAAAUCGAUGAAGACAGUAUCUAACAAUAUAACCAAGUAGCCGUUCUAUUACACGAACGUUCGUGUCGAUCGUUCGUGCAACCAAUUUUAAUUGUUCCAUUAAAAUUGUAUUUAGAUACUAAUUCGAAAACUGUAUGAAAUGCCACUGAAUUCUUCGUUGCAGAGCAUUACGGCGACAUCGAAUGUUAGUCAAUGUAUCGCGAACGAUGCAAUUGUCUCUGUAUAGCUCGUGUUCCCAUAAACCGUCGCGAUUAUUCAUUACAAAGCGGAGAGAGACCUAACUGCCGCGUGCGAGCGCGCCGUCGACCGUGGCGUACACAACUCUUCUCCUUUCCGCAUCAAAUAACCAUUGACAAGCUGUUCUUAGCGAUGCAAAUGAUAGAUUACAGUUGACGCGAUCGAUAGCUGUUCCUCGUACAAAUUGAAUCUCGCAAUGUCGCGCUACAGUUUAAUUAAACCGGUGCUUGUUAUAACUUCCGCAGGGACACGGUCUGAUCGCGCGUGAAAUCACGCUCGAUUAAACUUACACGGAAUAUUUCGUGGAUGAUGAUUACCUCGCUGGGAAAACUGGAAAGUUUCGGAACAACGAUGCACUCGAACCAGUUUCCGCCGAUAACGAGCUUGUUUCAAUGAAAUAACGGAUCACCUUGCCGUCUGACUCCUCGACGUAGAUGCACGCGCGUAGCAUUGCAUUGCGGCCGAUUUUGUCGGCCCCUACUUUUUCUAAUCUUCGGGUCGGAGUUCCAUCUCUUUUGUUCGUCGCGGUAAAUUCUGUCUCGUUAUUUCGCGAAAGCUGUCUUCAUUUAUAUCAUAUUGAGUCAAACCAACGGAGGAUGGUAAAACUCUUUUCUUCUAAAAACAAAAGUAUUUAUUCUUUUAUUUUCCUCGUAAUAAUGACAGCGGUAUCAUCCUCGUUCGUAUUAAAAUCAAGCAAAGCAACAAAAGAAAAUCAGUUCGCGAAUAUCUGCAAUGUUUCUCUCUCACAAUGAAAUGUUCGGUUUUCGAGAGCCUUGGUUCGUUAAAAAUCGCUAACGAUAUCCAAGAAAGUGUCAAGGACUGACAAAAACAGGAAUCUGUGGUUUCCGAUGAAUCUACAAUCCUCUUCAGUUUUGGGUUACAUCGCCGUAUCGGAUGAAACAUCGAGAACUAUUCUACGUUACGUCGUUAGUUUGUUAGAAGACGAUCUCCUGUUGCGCGCAACAUUGCCGUAACUUGAGAUUACAGCAGCUUUUUCCGGAAAUGCUACAUUUCGGGUUGCUGUGAAUUUCCCUGUGCUAAUUUAUUGCUACGUCGAAGCUGAGAUUCGACGGAGUCAGUCGAGCGUGCGAUGCGUCACGCGACGCAGUUCCUUUGACUCGAGUUCCCGGAAGACAUCACGAAAUGGUUUGUUUGGGUGUGAGUUAGGUAAAUAAAACCGCGGAGCUACAAGAUACGUUACCAAUCGCAACGACCGUUGAUGGUUAAACUCUCUGUCCAAUCGAGACAUGUGACCUCCGAAAUGCCUUCGAAUAGUGGCAUGAGGUCUCCGAAUAGCAUUUGAACCAUGUCAUGUGGCCUCCGAAUUGUUUUCGAAUAGUGCCAUAUGGUUUCCGAAUUGCCUUCAAA